AAAUCUAAACUAUAAUGCAUUACUAAAGUUUAGUCUUAUUGUACAACCAACAUCACUAUAAUAAGGGGGUAAGGAGUGGAGGCGGCAAACAUAUGUCACCGAACCGACAAUGGGUGGCAAACCAAUGCCAACCCAUUUGCCGCAUGCAAUGUUGACGAAAUGGGAGUGAAAUCGGUGAGGCAACACCGAUGCGGGGAAGGGAGGAAAGAGAGAGAGAGAGGGGGUGUGGGGUGGGGUCCAUUCCAAUCUCAACCAAUCACAUCUUUUUCUUUUUUUUUUAUUUAAAAAGUUUACCACUUCACCAAAUGUUUAAACCAUUGCCAACACUUUUCAGCAAAGUUUAAACACUUUUAAUUGAUUAACAUGGCAUGCUCUGAUUAGUCGGUUUUUUGGUUUGCCACUCCAAAGUGUUUAACCACUCCUUACACCCUAAACGAUAAACUAGGGAUUAAAUGAGCGGGACAUUGUUCAAUGGGCUCCGGCUAGAAAAAAUCAAAAUUCAAAAACCUCAUAUCUGCUUCUCAACUUUUGAAUUCCCCAAAUGUAUCUGAAAACGUUUGUUGCCUCUCUCUGUCUCACAUUUUGAAAACCCUAGACUACUGCAUCAGUACAAGAUCGACGACCUAUGGGUGGUUUUUACUCAUCUUCUUCUUCUACUCUCUCUUUCUUUCCUACAAAUUCAUACUCUCAAAGAAACACUAUGUAGAUUUAGGAUUAGAUCUGUCAGACUCGUGGAGCUUUGGGGGACGAAAGAUAGUGACGGUGGUGAUGAUUUGGUUACAGCCUUCUAUACGGUGGUGGUCCUUAAGAGCCACGUAAACACCGUCAACGGUUCCAAGGUUAAAACAAUGAGGAAGACCAUGACAGAAAACCCUAGCCAUCGCCUCCCGCGAUGGCGGCUAGGUUCCGACGAAGCUUCAUGGUUCUGCCACCCGAGCGCCAGUAGAGGAGACUAAGGUUCCGGCGAAUGUAAAGCCAUCGGUGACUGAACCACCAGUGCUGGCGGUUGCAUUAGUGGAGCAGGACAAUGUGAAUACUUCAAGGGUUGUGCAGGACGAACAAGACAUGGGUUGAUUAGUGAUGAUGAUAUGUACGGCCAGGUACUCAAAGUUUAGCCCUUUUUGAGUAUGAGUUGGGUUUGCAAUUGAGCAUGGGCUGAUUAGUAAUUUUUUUUCCAUCAGAAUUGUUUGAUUAAAUAUUUGUUAUAAAUCUUAAUUAUAGGGUAAUACAUCCCUAAAGUCAGUGUAUUAUGAUAAACAUUCUAUUUUGCAAGAACUUUAUAGCUGCGUAAUGUGGUGAUUGAAGAAAGUUACUGAUCACCAAAAGUAACAAAAGAUAGUUUAACUGUUGUAAAACGCAUCAAAUUUUAUUGAAUACAGUCAAGAAUGUUGGUUCAAGUCUGGUGAAACAAGAUGCUAAUGCUAAAAACAAUGUUGCUGGUGUUGGCACUACUUGGGCAACAUUCCUUACACGAGAAAUAUUCUUAGAAGUGUGCAAAUCGGCUGCAACUGUUGAACCACUACGGUGGGCAGGUCCUACUAAGAAUAUGGAUUUGGAGCCUGGUACGCUUCGGUACAGGUACGCUACUGUAAAUUGAGCCGGUUCAGGGAAUUCGAUGCCGAAUUAUGGUGUUACCCAAAACCUGAACCCCGACUCGAUUAAAAUCAAUCCAAACCCGAUUAUGGUGUUACCCGAUAAACCCCGAACCUGAACAGGUGGGGUUGUCUUCAAGAUUGUAUCUGAAAUUUAGAAUUCAAUAUGAGGGUAUGUUGUGCAAGUAGGGUGUUUGAUGUGCAUUUUGAAAGUGAUUAGUGAUUACUUAAUAACUGGCAUCAAUACAACGAUUUGAACCUAAAUUGCAGUAAAAUUAACUCAGUUUUGAUUUUGAGUGGUCUUGCAACAGUGGGCAUAAUCAGAUCAGAGCACUUCUGACUCGAUGUGGCACAUAUCUAGCAAGCGCCGCAAAAUGCGUUGGUGAUUGUGGAGAUGAUGUUUUUUUUUUCUUUUGCAUUCUUUUAGUUAUAUGCAUACUAAGCUGCACCACACAAGGAUCUUGGUGUGAAGGAAAAGAAGAAAGAGUGAUUGAAAAUAUUCAUAUCAAGACCAUUAUCUUAUUUAUGUAGAAGAUUAAAAACAUAUCUAUAAAUUUUGAGUGAGGAGUACUUUAUGAGUUUAUUGCAUUAUCAUCCACAAUUGUGAUGCAAUUCAUGAAAUAAAAUAAUAUCAGCUAAUACAGCCAAAAUGUUACGUAUUGAAUUUAACACGUAUCAUCGAAUUGAACCAUGUUAUCGUCACCAUCUAUGUCCAUUAUCAUUCACCAAAUCAGCUUGAUUUUGACAAGAUUGCCACCAUCCAUGUUAAGGGUUAUCACUGGUGUGGGGAAUCACGGAUGGGGUUUUAAAGGUGAUAUGAUUUUAGACAUAAAGAUACCCACAACCAAGUUCAAAAAUCACCACUUCCAUUGUUGGCAAUAGGUUUGUUAUUGUUCGCAUGCAAUCGGUAUUUCUCAUAUGUUUAAACAACGAUAUUAUUCAUCAUAAUUAUCUAAUUUACUUUCUUAUAGUAUAAAUUUUCAAUCUAAAACCUUUUAGAAAUCUAGAACCUUUUAGAAAAAAAAUAUAAAUUUUUGU
rnacentral:lncRNA from 1 species